UGGCGGACGGGUGAGUAACGCGUAAAGAACUUGCCCUUUAGAAUGGGAUAACAGAGGGAAACUUCUGAUAAUACUGGAUAAGUUAGUAUAUCGCAUGAUAUGCAAAUGAAAGCUACGGCACUAAAGGAGAGCUUUGCGUCCUAUUAGCUAGUUGGUAAGGUAAGAGCUUACCAAGGCGAUGAUAGGUAGCCGGCCUGAGAGGGUGGACGGCCACAAGGGGACUGAGAUACGGCCCUUACUCCUACGGGAGGCAGCAGCA
rnacentral:rRNA from 1 species